rnacentral:lncRNA from 1 species
UGGAGCCCUUUUUCCCUCCUAUGUGUGGGAAGCUCUGAGGGCUCCUGAUGGGAUUAGGAUCAGCUGGUGUGGGCCGAAUGAUCCCUGAGCCAAAAAAAGAAAGAAAAAAAAACCAACCUCCUCCUCCACAAUCUGUGUUGAAUGCCCAGAGACUGGCCCAAGUUACUUUCAAGAGAAAUGGCUGGUGUAUUACCAGGCAUCUGCUCACUAAACUUAGUAAAAUGAAAUCUGUUAAUUGUCACAGGCCCUCAGGGACAGAGAUAUCAACCUGAUGUCAUGUUUUACAUGCUUCACUGGGGCACUCUCUGUUGGACCAGACUUUAAGUAGUGCAACACAGAGCACUGCCCUCCAGUGCUUGAAGAUGGCAAUGGUUUAAAUACAGUAAAAGCAAAAAAGGAAAAGCCAGGACUCCUUGGAUCUGCAUAAAAUUUCCAUGAAAAAUGAAAAGGACACAUUCAAGCAAUUUGCCACAUUCAAGACACUUUUUGCUGAUGGCAAUUACCAUAACAAUGGCAGAUAGUUUGUAGGAAA